rnacentral:snRNA from 1 species
AGAGUGAAAGUUAUCUGACUGCAACACCUGUCACCCCAUUGAUCACCAGCGUGGACUCCGCUGACCUGGCCACCUAUGUGAUUUUGUCCUCUUUCCUCACUGCAUCCAUUUGUAAACCUCAUAAAAGCUGCACACUGAGAGGAGUACCACCACACUAUGUCAGGCACUCUGGCAUCUCCUUCUAGACCCUCCAAACAAGCAUAAAGUCCCUUAGUACGAGAACACAAGCUUCCAAGACUUCCAGAUGAGGGUCUGUAUAUGGCAACUUGCCUUUCAUU